GGGGUUGUGGCUCGGUGGUAGAGCACCUGCCUAGCAUGCACGAGGCACUGGGUUUGAUUCUCAGCACCACA
rnacentral:tRNA from 1 species